rnacentral:rRNA from 1 species
UACGUAGGGUGCGCGCGUUGUCCGGACUUAUUGGGCGUAAAGCGCUUGUAGGCGGUCUGUUGCGUCUGCUGUGAAAAUCCGGGGCUCAACCCCGGACUUGCAGUGGGUACGGGCAGACUAGAGUGUGGUAGGGGAGACUGGAAUUCCUGGUGUAGCGGUGAAAUGCGCAGAUAUCAGGAGGAACACCGAUGGCGAAGGCAGGUCUCUGGGCCACUACUGACGCUGAGAAGCGAAAGCAUGGGGAGCGAACAGG